CAUUCAUGGUUUCAAAUAAAAGUUAGUAGCCUGUGGUUUUCCUUGGUAAAUUCAAUGGACCUCAUGCUACACCACACAGACAAGUGGCAAAAAGUGCGUUGUCACGUUUGGAACCAUUACAAAGGUCAGGGACUUCUAGCCUUGUCUCCGGUGGGGCUUUAAUGGCUAUAACAGUUUGCUCACGCAAAGAAUUCAAGCUUCUAAUAUCCUGGUUAGGUGCCUAUUGAAAUGUUACCUGAGUGCAAGUCUACGCUUGCUGUGCUGAUCUGUGUGACCUGUGGUAUGGACGGCUCUCCUGUGGUGGUGAAUGUGUUGGCAGCUCCCCUACACACAAUAGUUAAAUAAAUG